rnacentral:sRNA from 1 species
CACACUCCAGCUUUCAAAAAUUUAGACAUUAAUUGACAGUUGAAAUUAAAAUUGAAAAUGUAUCCAACAAAAGUUGGCCUUAAAUUUACAAAAUAAAUAUUUAAAGACACUUCCUUGACGUUCUACGGCGAAUGGCAAUUACUUAAGCAAACAUUGUUUUAACAUUUCCCGUAAAUAAUCUGAUGCCUUUCCACAAAUGAGGCGCUAAAUUCGGCUAAUUUGUGAAGCUAAGCAACCGCGCGACAUGCAAACAGCAUUUAAAACUUGUCUUGUAUGCCAUUAAAAAGAAGAAGAA